UCCAAACACACCUGCUUCCUUUUGUCAGCUGCGGCGGAGCGAGAGAAGAGGGGCGGGCCGGGCAGGAGAAGUUGAGGGGUGGCACCCUUGCCGACGGACGGCUACAGCCACGGCGGGGAGGCGGGGCCGUAUGCGUCGGGCGUGCGCGCUCGUCCGCAGUCAACACGGAUGCAACGUAUGUCCAUGGUGGCUCGGCUCGAUCAGGAGGACGAGGGGAAGGGCUCGCUUGGGCCAGCACCGGGAAUGGAGCGGAGGCGGGUGGAUCUGACAAUUCUGAAGGAGCUACGGAGGCUACCGUGAAGGUUGGGCGGCGGCUCAACCUCGCCACAGUUCCUGCCUUCUCCCACCCGAGCCCACAUCACACACACGCGCCGCACCCUGGACAGUUUCUGCACGCCCGUCGUUGCUCUGCUGCUGCAAAAGCCACCGCCUCGCCGUGCCUGGCUGCCGCGUGCCCGAGACGACCUCCUGCUCGAUCUCGAGUCCCUGUGCACCCGAGCACUUUGCUCUCUCCCUUGCCUCAGCCACUCGCACCCGCGCAUCCAUGCUAAAACCCGCACUCCCGCCGCUGUCUUCUAGCCACAAUCGCUGCCGCGUCUGCUCGCCGGCAUCACAUCUGAGCUCCGCAGUUUACUCGUUGGAGAAGAUGACAUUGUAUGUUUUCUUUGUAAGGAGCCGAAGCCCAUUGUUGCGUGAAGUCCACAUUCAGUUGAGAUGGCUUGCGAAGCGGUUCUGCAUACUGGAGGUCAAGCUUGGAGGAUAUUAGCUUCACGUUGCUCUCUUUAGCUGCCAUUUGCACUUGAAGAUCAUUAUCGAGGCAGAAGGUGAGGAAGUGGUGAUUGGGCUGCGAGCUAAGGUUAUGGGACUAGCUGGGCCUUUGGUGGGAUGGCCUGGCCGGUUGGCCUGCCUGGCUGGCUGGUGUUGCUCAAAACAAAUUCGAUGUAUAUGGCUUUUCCCUUGCCGAUAGCUUGAUUUGAUUUUUUUCAUGUCUAUGCUAUAGAAAUGUCUGUAGUAUUCAAAUCUAGUUUCUCACAUAAUAGUACUGGGCGCACUCAUUGUUAAAGUUAGUUGUAGUGUAAGAAAAUCAAAGAAAACAUGUAGUGUGAACAAUGAAUGAGAUGACAUACCUUCUAGAUGUUCUUCAA